rnacentral:rRNA from 1 species
UACGUAGGGUGCAAGCAUUGUCCGGAAUUAUUGGCGUAAAGAGCUCGUAGGCGGUCUGUCGCGUCUGCUGUGAAAACUCAGGGCUUAACCCUGAGCUUGCAGUGGGUACGGGCAGACUAGAGUGCGGUAGGGGAGACUGGAAUUCCUGGUGUAGCGGUGAAAUGCGCAGAUAUCAGGAGGAACACCGGUGGCGAAGGCGGUUCUCUGGGCCUGUACUGACG